AGUAAAAAAGAAUUUAAAAAGAAAAUACCAAAGGAGAAGAGGAAACUCGGAAUUAAAAACUAGUUCAAUCGAGAAGAAAAGGACCUUUGCUAAGUAUUCAAAUAAGAGAUUGAGUUCACCGCUUUCAAGCUCUAGCUUUGAUUCCGCCAUAUCAGAUAUAUAUUCAUCUUCCAUACACACACCCAGGUAGAUAUAUUAUAUAUAUAUAUC